UGCAGCCGGUGGCAGGUGUGUGAUGACAGUUCCGGAAUCAAUAAUAGCACCUGCUGAUGAAAACACUGAGAUGGGGAUUGGUAAUUUUUUGCCACCAACACUAAGGCCAAUAAUGUCAAGGUUAUUUUGGACUCAAUUUCAUACUUUCAUUACACCGAUGCAAAAUAUAAACAAGUUAAAUUAACAUAGAUGACUUUUUUUUUUUAAUUCUAACUAAAAUGGAAAUUUUUUAAAGGAAUUAAAAUGGAUGUUUGAUCGUAUAAGUGCCAAUAAUAUGGUGAGCACUGGAUACAUGAUAGAAUUUCAUGAUUCCUCAUGAAUAAUGUUGAAGUUGUGAAUUAACUAAAUAACAUCACGUGAUAUUGUCGGUCACCAUGAAAUGAGUAUUGUCACCAACUAAAUCAUUAUUCUAAUACUAUGUAAAUAAAAUAAUAUAAUGAAAAGUUCAUGGAAUUAGAAAGCUCACAGGAAAUUUUUUUUAAUAAGAAAACAGUUAAAAUUAUCAAUAUGAACUCAGUUUUUAAUUAAUGAAAUUAACUUUGAAAAAUAGAAUGGGCAAUCAAGGCAUUUACUCACCUCGUUGUAUUAAAUUUAUACAUGCCUAUGUUUGGCAGAUAAAAAGCUACAACAACAUUGCAUUAAUGGGCCCAAGCUAAUGCGGCAAUUGUUGCUUGCUUUUUUUUUUUUUUUUUCCUUUAGCUUUUGCAUUUGCUUUUGCUUUAUAAUAAUAAUAAAUAAAUAAAUAAAAAUUUUAUUUAAUAAAUAUUACAUAAUUUUUUAUUUUUUAUUUUUACAUUAUAAUUUAUUAAUAAAUAUAUAAUUUAUUAUAACUAAAAAUAAAUAUUUAAAUAUUAAUAAAUAUGAAUAAUAUUAAUUUAAAAUUAAUAAUAAUAUAAAAUAUUAAUACAAUUUAAAUAUAUUAAUAUAAUAUAAUAUUUAAUUUAAAUUAAUCACAAAAAAAUUAAUACAGUACAGUGUAGUAACAAAUAUUGUACAAUAUUAUUAUAAUACAAUGUUAAUGCAAUACAACAUAAUACAAUAUACUAGUAUUAAAAUAAUGCAAUACAACAUAAUAUAAUACAGUAUGCCAAACGCACCCAUAGAGCAUUACAACAUAGCAGUAGAAGUGGUUUGGUUAUUGUCUUCGCUCCCUGAAUUAAAGUUGCAACUCAUAUCUAAACCAAGGAUUCAAUGUGAUGACAACCCAAGUGUCAUUGCCUUUGUGUUUGAUGAAAGGAAUCAGGUGCUCGAUCAAAUGUCUCAUUGGAACUUCAACAACACUGAUUGAAAUAGUGACUCAGCAAGAAUUAAGAAUAUGAUCUCGGGGGAUGAUGGUAGGUGGUUAUCUAAUAAAACAGGCAUCAGCAGUCCCUUGUAAAGACAGAGAAUUAUAGACAUUAGAUCAAAUUAGUUUUAUACAUAGGAUCAAGUUCACAGCUGAAAUUUUACAGUACUUGGCGAAGAAGAAACAAUACUUGGGAAAUUAUGAAAUCAGUAGGCUAAUUUUACAAUUUAUACGUGCGUAAUUCUUAAACCAGCUUUGCCCACACGAUAUAUCUUUCACGAUAUAUCUUUCAGGCGUAUUAUAAAGCUAUAAUCAUGAACAUUGUGUAGCCCUAAAGUCUUGUGCCCAAUAAAGAGAUACAACAAUGCUCUUUCGUUUUAGUUUUAUGCCCACUAACUAAUCGAUCAUGGAACAAGAUAUUUUUUUGUUAUUUUGGUGUAUACUUUACUUUUGAAAGUGGAAGACUCUUAAUCGGUCCAAAUUACUUCAGCCAUAAUGUGAAAAUUGAAACUUUAGAGCAUGACAUAAAUUUCCACUUUCUCGAGGAGAAUGAAAAGGCCCGAUAACUAUACAAUUUUCAUACAGAGUGGAGCUUUUAACAACCUCUUAAGAUCUUCAUAACAUACAUUUUGAAUUUUAGUUCUUAAAUUCCCUCAUUUUAGUUUAUAAAAAAUAAACAUGCAGUAAUAUUAAGAGCUAGUAAUAUUAUAUCUAUGAAUUCUUGUAUAAAUUGUAGCAUUAUAUUAUUGAUUGAGUAGAAUUAUAAAAUAUAAAAAUUAAUCAUGUUGAUCAUGUAAUAUUUUCAUUCAACUAACUAUUUUAUGCCAUGUUAGUUUGUAUAAAAAUAUUUCGGAUACAAGAGCUUGUAAGUGUGUCAUCAUCUAUCCAUGAAAUUUCACCCUAAAAAUAUUUUUCUUAACUUUUUAAUUAUAAAAUAUAUACAAAUCAUAAAAUCUUAAAUUAUUUCUUAGUAUAGUGUUUCUAUCUCCAUAACAUUAAGAUCUUAUAAUUUUGUUUAAAAAAAUAUUUAAAAUUUAAAAUAUAAUAUAAAUUAUGAAAUAGAAUGUGUGUAAAAUAUUUAGUAAAAGAAUAGUGUUUAAUUGAAUUCUCAUUCAUGAUAAGAAAUGAAUUAAUUUUUGGCAACUUUAAUUAAAAAGGGGAUUACAUAAGAAAUUUUGGGGAUGUCGAAAUUGAGAUGUAUGCAUUCAUAUAAAUUCAAAACUUAUGCAAAUUCAGUUUUUCCAUUAUUCCUUAACUGUUACUAAAUAACGACAGAAACUAAUAUGGUAUUUCCAAAAUAUAAAGGAUCAAAGUGUCGAUAUGUCAAAUUCAAGGUUAUUUUGGACUCAAUAUCAUAUUUUCGUUUGCACCGACGCAAAAUACAGAAAGCGCACAGGAAAACUAAAAUCAAUUACGACCGUAGCCGUCCAUUAUUACUCCAUUUAUGAAAAGAAUUCGUAUCUUAAACAAUUUCCAUUUCAAAUUGCUAUAUAUAAGUGAAGCCAAGAUAGCAAAUGUUUAGUUGGAAGCUUUGUGGACAUACAUUUAGCCACACAAAUAACAGUCCUCUGAGUGCAUAAUGUGGAUUCUCCUCAAGGCUUUUGUUCUUUUUAUAUGGCUUCCCUGCUCAUCCAACAACGGCGUCUCUGCCAACGACAACGACCUCUCCCACAGUUACACUGUUUCAGUCACUUCUCUAUUACCACCGACGGUUUGCAACCGCACACGGACAGCUUUGCCCCAAGGUUCUUAUAUUAUACUAUAUAUUUAUAUAUACACAUGGUUUUGAUUUCUCUCAUUGUUAUUGUUUUUAUAAUCAUAAUAAUUAUCACUCAUUAAAUGCUAUGUCUGCGUAUCUAAGGUCUCGGCAAAGCAUCUCUAGAAGUAGUAAGCAAGCACGGCCCAUGUUCUACGCUGAAUCAAGGGAAAAGUCCCUCCCUCGAAGAAACUCUGCGUAGAGACCAACAACGACUCUGUUCAAAGUAUUCCGGGCGUUUGCAAAAAACCGUUCCUGACAAUUUAAAGAAAACAAAGGCCUUUACCUUCCCUGCCAAGAUCGAAAGUGUAUCAGCCGAUGAGUAUUAUACUGUAGUCGCCAUUGGGAAGCCGAAACAGUAUGUUUCUCUCGUUUUGGAUACUGGUAGCGACGUCACUUGGACUCAGUGCAAGCCUUGCAUUCAUUGCUUUCAACAAAGGGACCCGCUUUUUGAUCCAUCCAAGUCUAAAACCUUUUCCAAAAUCCCUUGCAACUCUACGACGUGCAAGAAACUCAGUGGAUUAUUUCCUUCAGAUGGUCAAGAUUUACUACUUCUUUACUUUUCAUCACCAAAAUUAACACAUUUGAUAACAAUAUAUAUAUAUAUAUAGACUAUUAAAUCAAAACUAUACUGUGUUAUAAAUUAUGCCUAAAAAAAUAAGCACAAACAAGAUAAGCUGUAGAUCCAAAUUCCAUGUGAAAAUAAUUGGAGUUUUUUUUUUUUUUUGGCUUCAAAUAAAUGCAGACAAUUGCAAUUCCAGGGAAUGCCAUUUCAACAUUGCAUAUGUUGACGGCUCAGGCAACAGCGGGUUUUGGGCGACUGAUAGGAUGACUAUACAAGAAGCCAACAUCAAAGGAUACUUUACGCGGUACCCUUUUCUGUUGGGAUGUAUCAGGAACAGCAGUGGCGACAAAAGCGGGGCAUCCGGAAUUAUGGGUCUUGACCGAAGUCCGGUAUCCAUAAUUACAAAAACUAAAAUAAGUUACUUCUCAUAUUGUCUCCCCUCACCAUACGGCUCCAGAGGAUACAUAACCUUUGGCAAACCUAAUACUGUGAAAACCAAGUUCAUAAAAUAUACUCCAAUAAUCACUACUCCCGAACAGUCUGAAUAUUACGAUAUUACCCUCACUGGCAUAAGUGUUGGUGGGAAAAAACUUCCUUUUAGUACUUCAUAUUUUACUAAGUUGAGCACAGAAAUCGACUCGGGAGCCGUCAUCACCCGGCUUCCUUCACCCAUGUACGCAGCUCUGAGAUCAGCAUUUCGUAAAAGGAUGAAGAAAUAUAAAAGGGCAAAAGGAGCUGGCGAUAUUCUUGAUACAUGUUACGAUUUGCGUGCUUAUGAAACAGUUGUUGUACCAAAGAUUACAAUCCACUUCUUAGGUGGCGUUGAUCUUGAACUGGACGUGAGGGGGACAUUGGUCGUCGCUUCUGUGAGCCAAGUGUGUUUAGGCUUCGCUGUAUAUCCUUCGGAUACCAAUGCUUUUCUUCUUGGGAAUGUUCAGCAGCGAGGGCACGAAGUGCACUACGAUGUUGCUGGAAGGAGACUUGGUUUUGGUCCUGGAAAUUGCAGUUAAUCAAUAAUAAUUUCAAGUAUUGUAUGGUCCUUGCUGUACUCGAUCUAAAUAUUGAAUAAAGCCGUUUGUACUUGCAGUUAUUGAUAAAUAUUAAAUAAAGCUGUUUGUACUUGCAGUUACUAAUAAGUUGUGCGUUGAUGUGCAAUAGAACGGCCAGAAGCUAUUUCAUUAGAAAAACAUACGGCCUUUUUUUUUUUUGGACAAUAUAAAAUUUUUUAUUUCAAAGUUCAGGUUCAAGAUUGAACAUCAAUUGUAACACUAGAAAUCUUCAGUGAUGAAUGAAUGUGAUUUUGAGCAUUUAGAUAUGCGACAUAAUUCAGUGACUGAUUAUGAAUAAUAUUUAAGUUGUGAAUUAUUCAAACAACAUCAAGUGACACAGUGAAAAUUUUUAAUAUGAAUUUUGUUUUUAAUUAAUAUUUUUGAUUUCCUAAAAAAUCAACAUAGAAAAAUAUCAAGGGAUGUCAAGGGUACUUACCCACAUUGAGAAGCAGAAUGUAGAGACACUACAGCAGUAGAAAACGGCUAACGAUCCUUGAACUAAAGUUGCAACUCAUAUCUAAACCAUGGAUUAUUUAGUGUGAUGAUAACUCAAGUGUCAUUGCCUUGGCAAAAAAUCAAGUGUUUGAUGAAAUAUAUUACGUGCUCGAUCAAAUGUUUCAAACGAAACCUCAGGAACACUGAUUGAAAUAGUGACUUAGCAAGAAUUAAGGAUAUGAUCGCAGGUGAUGACAUUAGAUGACUAGUUAAUAAAACAAACAUCAGCAGUCUAUUGUGAAGGACCAAGAAUUUGUUGACAUUUGAUCAAAUUAGUUUUGGCCAUAGAACCAAGUUCGCGGCUGGAAUUUUACACUGAUUGACGAAGAAGAAAAAAAAAAUACUUGUUUGUAAACAUAUGAAAUUAUGAAAUCAGCGGGCUAAAUUUUUACAAUCUAUAUGUACAUAAUUCCGAUAUCAGCUUUGCACAUCAUAGAUGUAUUUGGGCGAAAAUUUUUAAAAUACAUAAAAGGUAAUAUAAUUAAUUAAUUCAUAUAUAUAUAUAUUUAAAUUUUAUAUAACUACUAUUUAUAUAUUUAUUUUUAAAAUAAAUAUAUAUUAUAAUAUUAUUUAUUUAUUAUAUAAUUAAUAUUACACCUUAUAGAUAUACUAAAAUUUCUGUUGUUGGGGAUGUUCUAAAGUUAUAAUCAUGAACAUUCUCUGUAAUGUAGCCCCAAAGUCUUGUGCCCAAUGAAGACAUUUCUUUUCGGCUUUCAGUUUAUUGGAUUGAGUGGUGUCAACUUGACGAUAUGUUUUUCAGGAUAAGCAGGACUGACAUCGUGGCCAAAUAUGAAUGGUUACAAAAUUUUCGACCCGCCAACCAAUAAUCAAUCAUGGAGCUAUAUACUUUUUGUCAUUUUUGGUGUUAUAUGCUUUACUUUUGAAAGUGGCAGACACUUGGUAGGUCCAGAUUAUUUCGGCCACAAUGUGAAACAGACUCGUGAUUGAAACUUUAGAAAAUGACGUUUCCACUUCCUGGAGGUUCAGCAAGAGCGUGCAACGCAUGGUCCGUAGAAUGAAAAGGGCUGACCACUAUUUUGACAAUUGGAUUGGGCUUCAAUUUUCAUGUGGAGCGGAGCUCCUAACACCCCUCUAAAACUUUUGUAACACCCCUUUUAAUUUUUAUUUUCCAAAAUACUCUUAUUUUAAUUUCUAAAAUACAAACUCAAGGAUUAAUAUUAACUAUUUUUCCAUAAAAGUAUACCUUAAAAAAUAUCUGUUUCUUACGUUUAAUUUAUAAAAUACAUACAAAUCCUAAAAUAUUAAAUUAUUUAUCUUUUAUUACGUAGUUUCUAUCUCCAUAACUCUAAACUAUUAUAAUCUUCUUAAAAAAUUCAAUUAAAUUUUAAAAUAUAAAAAUAUUUUCCAAAAUGGGGUGGGUGUAAGGCUUUUUAUUAAAAGAAUAGUUUUUAAUUGAAUUCUCAUUCAAGAUUAAAAAAAUGAAUUAAUGUGUAAUUUGGUUAUGAGGGUAAUUUCAAUUUUUUUUAAAAAAUCUUAAUAGAAUUUUGAGGGGGUGUCAAAAGUCAAAUAUAUGCAUUGAGAUGAAUCCGGAGCUUAUGCAGCUUUUAAAAAAACAAAAACAAAAACAAAACAAAAGCCACCUUAGCGCCUAAUAACUAACGACAGGGACUAAUAUCGUAAAUUCCAAUAUAAAAAGGAUCAAAGUGUCGUUACGUCAAAUUCAAUGUUAUUUUGGAGUCAAUUUCAUUACGUCGCCGCAAAAUUUAAAAAGCUGAAAGAGAAGCUAAAGUCAAUUACGUACGCAGGCAUCAAAAUAGUACUAUUAACAUAUCUUAAUGGACCAACAAUUUUCUUUUCGUUUUGGCCCACACCGAAGCUGAAGCAUUACUCUUCCAUUUAUUUUAUUUUUAAAAACAAAGCUUAUUUUCGGGAAGAUUCUACUGAUCUCUUUUUAGUUAAGAUUAUUAACUGGUUGGCUGGCUAUAUAGCUAGCUACAACCCUUAGGAGCAAAACCGACUCUCCUUUGGGCAACAUCGUACACAACCUCCAGCGUCUUUUGCUGCACAUUCCCAAUUAUAGCAACGUCGCUGUCAUCACUAUUGCCGGCGAAUGCUAGACACAUCUGCUUCGGACUACUGCCAAUCAAAAUCCCAGACCCUUCAAUGCUCACCUCAACUCCUCGGUUAAAGAAGAAGCUAAUCACAGGCACUGUAAUAGAAGUAUAAUUACUAAAGUCGUAGCACGUGUCAAGAAUCGACAAAGCUGGCGCCGUUGGAUAUUUUGACAUAAAUUUCUUAAACGUUGAUCGUAGGGCUGAGUAUGCAGCCGGUGGCAGGCGUGUGAUGACAGUUCCGGAAUCAAUAAUAGCACCUGCUGAUGAAAACACUGAGAUGGGGAUUGGUAAUUUUUUGCCACCAACUCUAAGGCCAAUAAUGUCAAGGCCGUAAAAGGAUGAGUCUGCGGUGGCAGUUGACAGUGGGGUGAAUUUUAUGGUUUUCGAGAGGCCAUUGCCUGCAUCUUUGCCAAAAGUGAG
rnacentral:lncRNA from 1 species